rnacentral:rRNA from 1 species
AUUCCUACGGGAGGCAGCAGUGAGGAAUAUUGGUCAAUGGGCGCAAGCCUGAACCAGCCAUGCCGCGUGCAGGAAGACGGCCCUACGGGUUGUAAACUGCUUCUAUACGGGAAUAAACCUCUUUACGUGUAAAGAGUUGAAUGUACUGUAAGAAUAAGGAUCGGCUAACUCCGUGCCAGCAGCCGCGGUAAUACGGAGGAUCCAAGCGUUAUCCGGAUUUAUUGGGUUUAAAGGGUGCGUAGGCGGCCUAUUAAGUCAGGGGUGAAAGACGGUGGCUCAACCAUCGCAGUGCCCUUGAUACUGAUGGGCUUGAUUACACUUGAGGUAGGCGGAAUGUGACGAGUAGCGGUGAAAUGCAUAGAUAUGUCACAGAACACCAAUUGCGAAGGCAGCUUACUAAGGUGUUAAUGACGCUGAGGCACGAAAGCGUGGGGAUCAAACAGGAUUAGAUACCCUGGUAGUCCACGCCCUAAACGAUGAAUACUCGAUGUUAGCGAUAUACCGUUAGCGUCAAAGCGAAAGCGUUAAGUAUUCCACCUGGGGAGUACGCCCGCAAGGGUGAAACUCAAAGGAAUUGACGGGGGCCCGCACAAGCGGAGGAGCAUGUGGUUUAAUUCGAUGAUACGCGAGGAACCUUACCCGGGCUUGAAAGUUACUGAAGUAUCCAGAGAUGGAUGCGUCCGCAAGGACAGGAAACUAGGUGCUGCAUGGCUGUCGUCAGCUCGUGCCGUGAGGUGUUGGGUUAAGUCCCGCAACGAGCGCAACCCCUAUGUUUAGUUGCCAGCAUGUAAUGGUGGGGACUCUAAACAGACUGCCUGUGCAAACAGAGAGGAAGGAGGGGACGACGUCAAGUCAUCAUGGCCCUUACGUCCGGGGCUACACACGUGCUACAAUGGGCAGUACAGAGGGCAGCUACCUGGUAACAGGAUGCCAAUCUCAAAAAGCUGUUCACAGUUCGGAUUGAGGUCUGCAACUCGACCUCAUGAAGUUGGAUUCGCUAGUAAUCGCAUAUCAGCAAUGAUGCGGUGAAUACGUUCCCGGGCCUUGUACACACCGCCAUCCAUAUGAC